CGAUGGGAGCUGACGUCAGCAGCCUCCGGGGACUCUUCGAGUGGAUUUAGACGGAGCGGAGGGUGAUCGAAAAUCUGUUACUUACUGUUAGAGAUAAAUUUGCCAGUUUAGACAGAGAUAAACUUGCCAGUUUAGACAGAUAGCUGAUUACGCUGAGAUACUAAGUACCCCUGUUGUGUGUGAGAGGUAUCCGCUGUUGCUGUGAAAGUGAAAUGGUAUUCCAGUAUUCCUUACUACAACCUUUUAAUACCCUUGACCAGAUUAUCUCUUCUUUCAUUUGGAACAAAAAGGCUGCCAGGAUCCACAAUGCCUAUCUCCCAAGGCUCUAGCCCACUGUUACACAUGGGGGAGAAGCGAGUCCCCACACAACACAGAUGUUCUGAGGGCAUGUGAGCGUCCUCCGAUCUCACAAGCCUAAAGCCAGAAUCGCCAAGCAAUCGGGAGCAGAGGUGGGCGGGCUACCGAUCCUGGAGAACAGAGAUCAGAAUGUGCUUGGUAUCUGGCUAGUAGGGUUCGCUGUUGCGCGAUGAGGAGAAGGAAUCUCUGCCGUUUUCCCAUCCCCCACCCAGGAAGCGUCAGAGCCAAUGUGCCGCCCUGUGGUCGGGUGCCCCACCCCUGUGCGUAUUUUUGCGUUUUAUGUUUUAUGUGGUGUGUAUGUAUUGAUACACGGAGUGUGGGUUAAGUAGCAUGUGUGAUAUAAAAUGUAUACUUUUUAGUAUUUAUAGUUUUUAGUAUUAAGGCAUGGGGAUAGCACAAAUUAGUUCAUGUGCUGGGAUUCAAGUGAAUGAUUAAUUAGUAAUCCUGGCACAGCUGUAUAUAUAGAUGCAUAAUCACUCACUCGGGGUUGGUGUGUUCAGGGAGAAAGAACAGGAAAGAGAAAAGAAGAAAAAUAAUAAAUAUAACAAUUGCUACUUGUGUGGGUUGUUUAGGUUAGUCUCCUGUUUGUUUGUCUAUUUAUUUUGGCCAACGUGCAGUUUUGUUUGUUUUGUGUUUUGUUUUGUGUUUAAAUCUUUUAUUUAUAACAAACCGGUGCAACAGCACAAUUCACUCACCACUGUGUCCUGCAUUUCCCAUACCUGUCAACUUUUGAAAGUAGAAAAUCAGGAGUGGGGGGAUGGUGCAAUCUGUGAUACCUUUUACUGUCCCCCCAGUAGAGCAGCGGUGGGGGAGUGGGGGAGGGGUGCAAGUGCAUGGCCAAGUAUUUGAACUUGCCUCGCACACUGAAUCCAUGCCUGCCACAGGCUCCCCUGGGUCCUAAACCCUACAGACGGAGAUUGCAGUAACCACCCACCAGCCAUGACUUUUGCAGACAUUAAAGGUUUGCACUUUUCUCACCCCAGUGUGAAAAGUGCCAAAAAUUUAACUCUUCCUCAUAUACAGUAUGUUGGACCAUGGUUCCUAAGCGUUUGGAAUGCUGCCCAAAAUGACUAUGUUAACAGUCUUAGUUUUGUUCUCAAUGUAUAAUAAACAUUGUGCCAUUGUCUGUUUUCUUUGCAUUCACCAACAGUUUAAUUUUAUCAACCAAAAGUGCACUGUAGUGUAUAUUCUCAAUGCCAACCUGAAGGUAGUGUAGAGGGAAUUGUUAUUCUAGCAGACUUAUCUAGAAUGGUUUCAUUGCAAUAUUAUUAUACUGUAUUGCACAACGAAAGUCUAGGAAAGGUCAUUGAUUUAAAAAAAAAAAAAAAAAGUUGAUGUGUUUUAUUCCCUAACUAUAACACUUUAAGCUUUAAAUUGCUUCUGUAUUGUAGCCACAUGAUAAGCCUAUCAAUGAAUAUAUGUGCAUAUAAACUGUCAUUUAGUUAGUAACAUUAAUUUAUUCUCUUGCCCAACAGAUCUGUAAACAGUACGGGUUAUAUAAAUUGCUAAUCCUCUCUUUACUUUGGUUGAGCCAUAGGUUGAUCACAUUCUCGUUGCUUCUUUUCCACUUCAGAGAAGGGCAAUACCACAUUCAAUCUUCUUCACUGGGUUCCUCUAUCAUUAAGAGAAAUGGCAUUUGUCAUCUCAUUGCUCUGGUUGCCCCCUCUUCAUUACACAUAUCAAAUUGAGGUGGUGCAGGUUGAAGGUAUCCAACAGUUGUUUCAAUCACCCAGUACUUCAAUCACCCGGGUCAUUUCUGCCUAAUACACUCAUCUCAGAGAUAUACGUUCUACACCAUAAAGACUUCACCCAUUGUUGUCAAGGGCAACCUCUAAUUUACUUUGUUGUUUACAUUCCCGUAUACAAGUUUUCUAGAUUGAACCAGGAUAAAAGAAAACACAGUGAAAGCAUGGUAAAGUAAAAAUGAGUAUGCAAAAGCAUUGUAAAAGUAAAUCCCUGUAAAGUCAUUGUAUACGUGUGAUACCACCACAGAAAUGUAUCACAGUAAACUGAGGGAUUACUGUAUAAUUUUUUUAUUUGUAUUUUUUUCAUCAAUAAAAUAGCUAUCAGGGGACUUAACUCCAUGCUUUACAGACAAGCAGGCCAUUUCAGACACCGUAUCCUGAAUUAUUGUAUGAAGACAUUGCUCAAUAAUUUAAUUUUGAAGGACUGUUAAUGGUAUGUACAUGUAUUAAAAGACCAUAUGGAGGAGGCUGUGUGGUCCAGUGGUUAAAGAAAGGGUUUGUAACCAGGAGGUCCCCGGUUCAAAUCCCACCUCAGCCACUGACUCAUUGUGUGACCCUGAGCAAGUCACUUAACCUCCUUGUGCUCCAUCUUUCGGGUGAGACGUAGUUGUAAGUGACUCUGCAGCUGAUGCAUAGUUCACACACCCUAGUCUUUGUAAGUCGCCUUGGAUAAAGGCGUCUGCUAAAUAAAUAAAUAACAAAAUAAUAGUAUGAAAUUUCAGCAAGUUGCCCCAUGUUAGAUUGAGGUGAUUGCUUUUUAUAAUAUAAGUUACACAGCGAUGAUUACGUCCUGAAGUCUUUCAACAUUUCUAUCGGUAUAGGUCAUGUAUAAAGUUACAUUAAAAACAAAUUGGGGAAAUUUAAAGGUGACUGGCCUCUGCUGACCUCAAUUUUUUAUGUCUAUUUGUGUAUUUAUCCUUUUUUUCAGUAAGCUUUUGAAGUUGUAAUAGUCAAAAAGUGUCACAUCCUAAACUUUAUUUUACAAAAGCAUAAUGUACAUCAGCUUCACAAAUAGAGCAUUGCAGCAGGUAGAGAUGCAACAAUUCUUCAAUGCAUCGAUUAUUAAUUAUCAGUCCUUAAAUUUCCAGAGCUUCGAUUACACAUUGGUGAAUUGAUGUACCAAAUUAUAGCCCAGUCUGAAGUCUUCCAUUGACUAUGCAGUUAUGCGCUUAUAUUAGUGCUAAUGCGGUAGGUAGCCAAAGUCAGCAUGUUGCUAGGAUACAAACUUUUGGCUUUUGGAUUUGUGUUGAACAAGUCACAUCUGUAAAAAAUAUUUAUAUUCUAUUUACAUUUUAUUUACACAAUCCUGGUUUAAAAAUUAAAAGGGACACAAUUAUUUUAUUUUUUAAAAAAUUGAAAAAUCUUACAUAAAGACUGGUAUUAUGAGGUAAAGGAAAGGGAGGAUGGAAAAGCAAUGUUUACUGGAUUUCAUGUAGAUAGUACAUUAUUUUGACAUAAAAUGUUAACAGUAUUGUUAAUUAACCAGUAUAGUUCAGAUUUCAUUUUUUUUUAAAUUAUUAUCAUUAAUUGAACUCAAGUCCUACAGAUGAAUAAAAAGUGUUCUAAUUUAAAUUUGCCUUGCUGUUUAACUGCUAU